rnacentral:rRNA from 1 species
UUUGAGAUCGGGAUAGCCCUGAGAAAUCAGGAUUAAUACCGGAUGUGGUCACGACAAGGCAUCUUGAUGUGAACAAAGGCGCAAGCCGCUCAAAGACGGGCUCGCGGCUUAUUAGCUUGUUGGUGGGGUGAUGGCCUACCAAGGCGAUGAUGAGUAGCUGGUCUGAGAGGACGAUCAGCCACACUGGGACUGAGACACGGCCCAG